GAAGAAAACACUGGUGAUUGCCACUAGCGAGGUAUAGAGUUCCUACGUAAUAUAGAACUGUAGGAACUUCAUACCGUGCUCUUGGGUUUGCCAAUGGUCUAC
rnacentral:pre_miRNA from 1 species